rnacentral:misc_RNA from 1 species
GAUGAAGAACGUAGCGAAAUGCGAUAAGUAGUGUGAAUUGCAGAAUUCAGUGAAUCAUCGAAUCUUUGAACGCACAUUGCGCCCUUUGGUAUUCCUUAGGGCAUGCCUGUUCGAGCGUCAUUUAAACCUUCAAGCUCAGCUUGGUGUUGGGUUACUGUCCGCUUCACCGCGGACUCGCCUCAAAAUUAUUGGCGGCCGGUACAUUGGCUUCGAGCGCAGCAGAAACGCGAACUCGGGCCCGUCGUAUUGGCUCCCAGAAGCUAUCUUCACAAUUUUGACCUCGGAUCAGGUAGGGAUACCCGCUGAACUUAAGCAUAUCAAUAAGCGGAGGA